rnacentral:rRNA from 1 species
AGAUUCCUACGGGAGGCAGCAGUGGGGAAUUUUCCGCAAUGGGCGAAAGCCUGACGGAGCAAUACCGCGUGAGGGAUGACGGCCUAUGGGUUGUAAACCUCUUUUUUCAGGGAGGAAUAAAAUGACGUGUACCUGAAGAAUAAGCAUCGGCUAACUCCGUGCCAGCAGCCGCGGUAAGACGGGGGAUGCAAGUGUUAUCCGGAAUCACUGGGCGUAAAGCGUCUGUAGGUGGUCUAGCAAGUCAACUGUUAAAUCUUGAGGCUCAACUUCAAAAUCGCAGUCGAAACUGUUAGACUAGAGUAUAGUAGAGGUAAAGGGAAUUUCCAGUGGAGCGGUGAAAUGCGUAGAGAUUGGAAAGAACACCGAUGGCGAAGGCACUUUACUGGGCUAUUACUAACACUCAGAGACGAAAGCUAGGGUAGCAAAUGGGAUUAGAUACCCCAGUAGUCCUAGCCGUAAACAAUGGAUACUAGAUGUUGAACAGAUCGACCUGUGCAGUAUUAAAGCUAACGCGUUAAGUAUCCCGCCUGGGAAGUAUGCUCGCAAGAGUGAAACUCAAAUGAAUUGACGGGG